CCCCAAAUGCUCGAGAAAAUUCGAGACUCCGCCCAUUGCAAUGUUGCGGCACACUCCUUCUUUUUUCCAGCACUCUCGCUUGACCAAAUAAUCAAAGAUUUGCACGGACAACAACAAGGUGAAUUAAAGAAAGCA
ensembl:ncRNA Y110A7A.23 ncRNA